rnacentral:rRNA from 1 species
UACGUAGGGGGCAAGCGUUGUCCGGAUUUAUUGGGCGUAAAGAGCGUGUAGGCGGCCAGGUAGGUCCGUUGUGAAAACUCGAGGCUCAACCUCGAGACGUCGGCGGAAACCCUCUGGCUAGAGUCCGGAAGAGGAGAGUGGGAUUCCUGGUGUAGCGGUGAAAUGCGCAGAUAUCAGGAAGAACACCCGUGGCGAAGGCGGCUCUCUGGGACGGUACUGACGCUGAGACGCGAAAGCGUGGGGAGCAAACAGG